rnacentral:rRNA from 1 species
AUGACGGGCUAUCUUGAUGACUCGAUCAAGGAGCCCGCCGCUGUCAUCAUCACCGAGAAGGACAACGCUGGGAAGAAGGAGAUCACCGAGGCGCCCAACCCAGAACACGCGAUCUGGGUCACUCAAGAUCAGCAGGUGCUUACCUUCUUGCUCGCCUCUCUAUCCCGCGAGGUUUUGAUGCAGGUGUCCAACCACACCACCGCCGCGGGAGUCUGGAAAGCCCUGGUGGAAAGCUUUUCUGCCCAGUCCCAGGCGCGCCAGAUACAGCUCCGUUCUGCGAUCGGGAACGCACGCAAGGGCGACCUCUCCACCGCCGCCUACUUCACCAAGAUGAAGGGGCUCGCCGACGAGCUCGCUGCUGCAGGAAAACCGCUUGAUGAAGACGACAUCGUUUCACACAUCGUGGAGGGUCUCAUGCAUGAGCCCGACUACAGCGGCUUCGUCACCGCCAUCUCCACGCGCCAUCACCGAUCAACCGAUCGGCCUCAGCGAGCUCUUUUCACUACUGCUCGCCGCUGA